rnacentral:rRNA from 1 species
GUCUACGGCCCUGCCACCCUGAAUGCGCCCGAUCCCGUCUGAUCUGGGAAGCGAGGCAGGGUCUGGCUUAGUUAGUACUUGGAUGGGAGACCGCCUAGGAAGACCAGGUGCUACAGGCA